UUGGCGGACGGGUGAGUAACGCGUGAGUAACCUGCCUUCAAGAGGGGGAUAACAUUCUGAAAAGAAUGCUAAUACCGCAUGACAUAUCGGAACCACAUGGUUUUGAUAUCAAAGAUUUUAUCGCUUGAAGAUGGACUCGCGUCCGAUUAGAUAGUAGGCGGGGUAACGGCCCACCUAGUCGACGAUCGGUAGCCGGACUGAGAGGUUGAACGGCCACAUUGGGACUGAGACACGGUCCAAACUCCUACGGGAGGCAGCAUG
rnacentral:rRNA from 1 species